CUACACGACCGUACCGCAAACCGACACUGGUGCGCGAGAUGAGUAUUCUAAGGCGCUUGAGAGGACUCAGGAGAAGGAACUCGGCAAAUUGACACCGUAACUUCGGAAGAAGGUGUGCCUUUAGUAGGUGAACCUGUACAAGGGGAGCCCAAUGAGGUUGCAAAAAAUCGGUGGCUGCGACUGUUUAAUAAAAACACAGCACUCUGCAAACACGAAAGUGGACGUAUAGGGUGUGACGCCUGCCCGGUGCUGGAAGAUUAAAUGAUGGGGUGCAAGCUCUUGAUUGAAGUCCCAGUAAACGGCGGCCGUAACAAUAACGGUCCUAAGGUAGCGAAAUUCCUUGUCGGGUAAGUUCCGACCUGCACGAAUGGCGUAACGAUGGCCACACUGUCUCCUCCUGAGACUCAGCGAAGUUGAAAUGUUUGUGAUGAUGCAAUCUCCCCGCGGAAAGACGGAAAGACCCCAUGAACCUUUACUGUAGCUUUGUAUUGGACUUUGAACAGAUCUGUGUAGGAUAGGUGGGAGGCUUUGAAGUGUGGUCGCUAGAUCGCAUGGAGCCAACGUUGAAAUACCACCCUGGUGUGUUUGAGGUUCUAACCUAGGCCCGUAAUCCGGGUCGGGGACAGUGCAUGGUAGGCAGUUUGACUGGGGCGGUCUCCUCCCAAAGCGUAACGGAGGAGUUCGAAGGUACGCUAGGUACGGUCGGACAUCGUGCUAAUAGUGCAAUGGCAUAAGCGUGCUUAACUGCGAGACUGACAAGUCGAGCAGAUGCGAAAGCAGGACAUAGUGAUCCGGUGGUUCUGUAUGGAAGGGCCAUCGCUCAACGGAUAAAAGGUACUCUGGGGAUAACAGGCUGAUACCGCCCAAGAGUUCAUAUCGACGGCGGUGUUUGGCACCUCGAUGUCGGCUCAUCUCAUCCUGGGGCUGUAGCCGGUCCCAAGGGUAUGGCUGUUCGCCAUUUAAAGAGGUACGUGAGCUGGGUUUAAAACGUCGUGAGACAGUUUGGUCCCUAUCUUCCGUGGGCGCUGCAGAUUUGAGGAAGCCUGCUCCUAGUACGAGAGGACCGGAGUGGACACACCUCUGGUGUAUCGGUUGUCACGCCAGUGGCAUUGCCGAGUAGCUAUGUGUGGAAGAGAUAACCGCUGAAAGCAUCUAAGCGGGAAACUCGUUUCAAGAUGAGAUCUGCCGGGGCCUUGAGCCCCCUAAAGAGUCGUUCAAGACCAGGACGUUGAUAGGUCGGGUGUGGAAGCGCAGUAAUGCGUUAAGCUAACCGAUACUAAUUGCUCGUGCGGCUUGACCU
rnacentral:rRNA from 1 species